rnacentral:rRNA from 1 species
UACGAAGGGGGCUAGCGUUGUUCGGAAUUACUGGGCGUAAAGCGCACGUAGGCGGAUCGAUCAGUCAGGGGUGAAAUCCCAGGGCUCAACCCUGGAACUGCCUUUGAUACUGUCGAUCUGGAGUAUGGAAGAGGUGAGUGGAAUUCCGAGUGUAGAGGUGAAAUUCGUAGAUAUUCGGAGGAACACCAGUGGCGAAGGCGGCUCACUGGUCCAUUACUGACACUGAGGCACGAAAGCGUGGGGAGCAAACAGG